rnacentral:ncRNA from 2 species
UAAAGUAUUAAAGCGCCAGAACUUGAGUCUAGGCUUAAGUUGACGAGGUUGGGGAGUAUCGAGAUUUUCGGCGGAUGCCCCACGGUAGCACACUACCGUUAAACAUUGAUAAAACCGCAAAGUGAUUUGUGGCACAAAAUCAAUGGGGUGUGAUUC